rnacentral:rRNA from 1 species
UACAGAGGUCUCAAGCGUUGUUCGGAUUCAUUGGGCGUAAAGGGUGCGUAGGUGGCGUCGUAAGUCGGGGGUGAAAUUUCGGAGCUUAACUCCGAAACUGCAUUCGAUACUGCGGUGCUUGAGGACUGGAGAGGAGACUGGAAUUUACGGUGUAGCAGUGAAAUGCGUAGAGAUCGUAAGGAAGACCAGUGGCGAAGGCGGGUCUCUGGACAGUUCCUGACACUGAGGCACGAAGGCCAGGGGAGCAAACGGG